UUCUUAUGGUGAAAAUAUCACGCUAAUUUUUCGCGUUAGAGGUGGGCGGAGCUCUAAGGGC
rnacentral:tRNA from 2 species